UACGUAGGGUGCAAGCGUUAAUCGGAAUUACUGGGCGUAAAGCGUGCGCAGGCGGUUAUAUAAGACAGUUGUGAAAUCCCCGGGCUCAACCUGGGAACUGCAUCUGUGACUGUAUAGCUAGAGUACGGUAGAGGGGGAUGGAAUUCCGCGUGUAGCAGUGAAAUGCGUAGAUAUGCGGAGGAACACCGAUGGCGAAGGCAAUCCCCUGGACCUGUACUGACGCUCAGGCACGAAAGCGUGGGGAGCAAAAGGG
rnacentral:rRNA from 1 species